rnacentral:rRNA from 1 species
AGUGAACGCUGGCGGUAGGCCUAACACAUGCAAGUCGAACGGCAGCACAGUAAGAGCUUGCUCUUACGGGUGGCGAGUGGCGGACGGGUGAGGAAUACAUCGGAAUCUACUUUUUCGUGGGGGAUAACGUAGGGAAACUUACGCUAAUACCGCAUACGACCUACGGGUGAAAGCAGGGGAUCUUCGGACCUUGCGCGAUUGAAUGAGCCGAUGGCGGAUUAGCUAGUUGGCGGGGUAAAGGCCCACCACGGCGACGAUCCGUAGCUGGUCUGAGAGGAUGAUAAGCCACACUGGAACUGAGACACGGUCCAGACUCCUACGGGAGGCAGCAGUGGGGAAUAUUGGACAAUGGGCGCAAGCCUGAUCCAGCCAUACCGCGUGGGUGAAGAAGGCCUUCGGGUUGUAAAGCCCUUUUGUUGGGAAAGAAAAGCAGCAGGUUAAGACCCCGCUGUUCUGACGGUACCCAAAGAAUAAGCACCGGCUAACUUCGUG